ensembl:lincRNA
CCAAGCUGUUCCAGCCGCUAGGCAGGCGCCUCGGAGGCGGGUACAGGCCAUUUUCCCACCAGCCUGGUCCAGGUGGCCUGGAGGCUGCAGGGGUCGUCUGGGAACAGGUCCUGCCCCUGAUUGAGGCAUGAAAUCUGGGUCUCUCAGACCUGACGGACUUUCGGGAUCAUCUUCCUAGGUCCCCACAAAGUGCCUGAAGACAGGAAACAUUUGGUGUGCUUGACGGGGACUAUGAGAUCUUAUGGCAUCUCAAAGGGCAGAAGUCUGGACAGGAAGACCAAUUGCAUGGUAGAGGAUUCCCCAAGUAGACCACGUGUGUGCCAGCCCAGCAGGCAAACUGCCCCAUAUGUGUUUGUCCGUCAACUGUGCGUGCAGAGCUUUACUCUCGUGCAUGACACAGGAAGCCCACGGGACGCUCCCCCAGCACGCCCCGCUGCCUCGGCACUCCUGGAAGGAAGACCUGUUCUUGUUUCUUCCGUACUCUCAGGAUCUGGCACAGAACCCGACAAAGGAAAUAUUUAAUGAACUAUGGCAUAGACCUGGCCCUGAACAAGACCCUGGGACCUUGUUCCAGAAGCAGCAAGGUGCAGCUUCUGCCCUCAGCAACCUCACUAAUGGACGCUGCACAGUGGGCGGCAAGCGACACCAGAGAGCAUCAGGAUUAGGAAGUCUGUUCGGAUUAGUGUGGAAUCAGAUAUGACUUGCAGAUGUCGAGAUGGAACCUCACCAGGGCUUCCUUCUGAAAGGAAACUUCCAGAAAGCAGCAGACAGACCACAGAACAUCCUUCCUAGAAAAAGAUAAGUCAUCUAUAGACCAGCAACAGCUCUGAUCACAUGACUGCAAGCAAGGUUUCCAAAGAAAUCAAAAUGAUAGCUUAAAGAAUGAGCAUGGAAAAUUUCUUUGUAGAAAGAUUCAAAUUCACAAUGUGACCAAUUAAAAGGAAUCCUAGCGUACAUUUUUUUUUCUCAAAAAAAUUUCACAAAUACUGUCUUAUUUGAUUCUCAUAUUAACCUGUGGAUAUGGGCUGUGAAUAUGAGCCAUGAAGACAUUAUUCUCCACUUUAUAAUUGAGAGAAGGGAGGGAGGACAUCAGUGACUCGCAUCUCAGGGUACAUGACAGUGAGUGAUUGAGACAGACUUGGGUCUUUUGGUUACUCCUAGUACAGUGCUCUCUCCACCUCAUCCUGCCUUUACAAACUGGAAGCAGGUUAAGUAGCAAUUCAUUUAUUUUUCUUUCAGAAAGAAAUACAUCUUUAAAAGAAUGAGGAUCAAAAAUUGUGUAAAUAGAUGAGGCUGGCGCAGUGGCUCAUACUUGUAAUCCCAGCAUUUUGGGAGGCUGAGGCAGGUGGAUCACCUCAGAUCAGGAGUUCGAGACCAGCCUGGACAAUAUGGCCAGACCCUAUCUCUACUAAAAAUAAAAAAAAUUAACUGGGUGUAAUGGUGGAACCUGUAAUCCCAGCUACUCGGUAGGCUGAGGUAGGGAUAAUUACUUGAACCCAGGAAGUGGAGGUUGCAAUGAGCUGAGAUGGUGCCACUGCACUCUGGCCUGGGCAACAGAGCAAGAUUCUGUCUCAAAAAAAAAAAAAAAAAGUUGUAUAAAUAAAUGUAAAAAAUUCAAGUAUCUUCAUUCUAUUUUAUAAUAUAGUCAAGGUGUUUUUUGAUUUUCUUUUUUAAGGUAGAAAAACUGAGGGGCAGAGGUAAGUAGAGACAAAGGGA